rnacentral:rRNA from 1 species
AUAAGCGGAGGAAAAGAAACUAACAAGGAUUCCCCUAGUAGCGGCGAGCGAAGCGGGAAGAGCUCAAAUUUGUAAUCUGGCGUGCUCAGUGCGUCCGAGUUGUAAUCUAUAGAAACGUUUUCCGUGCCGGACCGUGUCCAAGUCCCUUGGAACAGGGUAUCAAAGAGGGUGACAAUCCCGUACUUGACACGACGACCGGUGCUCUGUGAUACGUUUUCUACGAGUCGAGUUGUUUGGGAAUGCAGCUCAAAAUGGGUGGUAAAUUCCAUCUAAAGCUAAAUAUAGGCGAGAGACCGAUAGCGAACAAGUACCGUGAGGGAAAGAUGAAAAGCACUUUGGAAAGAGAGUUAAACAGUAUGUGAAAUUGUUGAAAGGGAAACGAUUGAAGUCAGUCAUGUUCAUUGGAUUCAGCUGGUUCUGCCAGUGUAUUUCCUUUGAACGGGUCAACAUCAGUUUGAGCCGGCGGAUAAUGGCAGAGGGAAUGUGGCACCUCCGGGUGUGUUAUAGCCCUUUGUCGCAUACGUCGGCCCAGACUGAGGAAUGCAGCUCGCCUUUAUGGCCGGGGUUCGCCCACGUACGAGCUAGGAU